GAACGCUGGCGGCAUGCCUAACACAUGCAAGUCGAACGGCAGCACAGCAGUAGCAAUACUGUGGGUGGCGAGUGGCGGACGGGUGAGGAAUACGUCGGAAUCUGCCCAGUCGUGGGGGAUAACUAGCCGAAAGGUUAGCUAAUACCGCAUACGACCGAGAGGUGAAAGCGGGGGACCGCAAGGCCUCGCGCGAUUGGAUGAGCCGACGUCGGAUUAGCUAGUUGGCGGGGUAAAGGCCCACCAAGGCGACGAUCCGUAGCUGGUCUGAGAGGAUGAUCAGCCACACUGGAACUGAGACACGGUCCAGACUCCUACGGGAGGCAGCAGUGGGGAAUAUUGGACAAUGGGCGCAAGCCUGAUCCAGCAAUGCCGCGUGUGUGAAGAAGGCCUUCGGGUUGUAAAGCACUUUUAUCAGGAACGAAAAGCGUUGGAUUAAUACUCUGACGUGCUGACGGUACCUGAGGAAUAAGCACCGGCUAACUUCGUG
rnacentral:rRNA from 1 species